rnacentral:rRNA from 1 species
AUAACGACUUUCGGCAACGGAUAUCUCGGUGCGAUACUUGGUGUGAAUUGCAGAAUCCCGUGAACCAUCGAGUCUUUGAACGCAAGUUGCGCCCGAAGCCAUUUGGCCGAGGGCACGUCUGCCUGGGCGUCACGC